AGCGAACGCUGGCGGCAGGCCUAACACAUGCAAGUCGAGCGCCCCGCAAGGGGAGCGGCAGACGGGAGAGUAACACGUGGGAACGUACCCUUCAGUACGGAACAACCAAGGGAAACUUUGGCUAAUACCGUAUACGUCCGUAAGGAGAAAGAUUUAUCGCUGAAGGAUCGGCCCGCGUCUGAUUAGCUAGUUGGUGAGGUAACGGCUCACCAAGGCGACGAUCAGUAGCUGGUCUGAGAGGAUGAUCAGCCUCACUGGGACUGAGACACGGCCCAGACUCCUACGGGAGGCAGCAGUGGGGAAUAUUGGACAAUGGGCGCAAGCCUGAUCCAGCCAUGCCGCGUGGGUGAUGAAGGCCCUAGGGUUGUAAAGCCCUUUCGGCGGGGAAGAUAAUGACGGUACCCGCAGAAGAAGCCCCGGCUAACCUUCGUGCCAGCAGCCGCGGUAAU
rnacentral:rRNA from 1 species